rnacentral:sRNA from 2 species
UUAAUGGACGGCUAGGGUUCCGGCUUUCUUGCUCGAGUAAUCUCGGUGGAUUACAUGAGCUGGAAAGUGACUGGUCCGAGAGCUGUCGACCUUCCACGGGUAACCAUCACUACCCCCUGGCAGGUUACACGGCGGGAUAAAAGCCCGGGAGGA